CGGCCGCAGAGUUUGAUCAUGGCUCAGGAUGAACGCCAGCGGCAGGCUUAAUACAUGCAAGACGCGGGGCAGCAGGGGUGUAGCAAUACACUCGCUGGCGACCGGCAAACGGGUGCGGAACACGUACGCAACCUACCCAAAACUGGGGAAUAGCCCGGGGAAACCCGGAUUAAUACCUCGUAACACCAUGAAGUGGCAUCACUAUAUGGUUAUAGCUCCGGCGGUUUUGGAUGGGCGUGCGCCUGAUUAGGUAGUUGGCGGGGUAGCGGCCCACCAAGCCUACGAUCAGUAACUGGUGUGAGAGCACGACCAGUCACACGGGCUCUGAGACACGGGCCCGACUCCUACGGGAGGCAGCAGUAAGGAAUAUUGGUCAAUGGACGCAAGUCUGAACCAGCCAUGCCGCGUGAAGGAUGAAGGUCCUCUGGAUUGUAAACUUCUUUUAUAUGGGACGAAACCCGGGAAUUCCUUCCCGAUUGACGGUACCAUAGGAAUAAGCACCGGCUAA
rnacentral:rRNA from 1 species